GUGGUAAAGGGGAAGAACUGGAAAUGUGAGAUCUCAUAGAUAUGGAAAAACUCAAUGUCAAAAGUCUCUGAGAGAAUGCAUUGAGACAGUGAGUGCCAGUUGAGGCUGGAAUGAGAACGACUGUGGAACCAGCCGCGGAGGGCAUGGUUUGCAAAGGCGGUUGAAGCUGCAUCAAACAGAAAAACAUUUGCAAUGCAUAGGCAGCUACUUUCCGUUCAGAGAAACUGGCAGUUUUUCAUGUGCCAUUCUCCACAUAAUCAGCAUCAUUACCUGAACAGGCCUUCAGAGCUGGCGAAGGUGAUCAGCGACUGCAUUGAACUGUCA